GGAGAAGCCUACAGGGAGAUCCUCGGCAGGGCGGCUUUGAUGACUUCUUCAGACUCACGGAGCAGACUGACAAAUUGACUUUCAAGUGAAAGACAUUCAUGAAGACUGGAUGAAGAAGCAAUGGGACAUCCAGGUUGAGCAAAAUAAUUCAGAAUUGUCCUUUUGGAAGUCCUGAUUAGAGAUGUUUAACUCACCUUCUCUCUUCCUCCACCACAAGGAAGGUAAAUUCCAAGUAAUUGCACAGCCUUCUCCAUUGAUGCCCAGGAAAACCUUGACAGAGAAGAAGAAGAAUGUAUGGCUACAUCUGGAGCUUCCAAGCAGAUGAGAGUGUUGUCCAUUAUAUGGGGAAAAGGUAGAAGACAAGUUCAUUGGCACCAUAAGCAGAAUAGGUGGGUUUUUUGUUGUUGUUGUUGUUGUUGUUGUU
rnacentral:lncRNA from 1 species